rnacentral:ribozyme from 1 species
CUUAAUUUGUAUUUUCUGUAAAGGGUUAGAUCCGACGUAUCUGGAAGGAUAAUAUAGGCUCUCUUUCUUGCUCCUAUUCAAUACGUCUACGACGUGUAGAACAGUAACUUGACGCCUAAAUAUCCAAGCAUGGGUACACGCGGAAAGGCCCCUUUGUAUGAUUACAUCGCAUAUAUAUAAAAACGGACUUGG